rnacentral:rRNA from 1 species
GGGUUGUGAGGUUAAGCGACUAAGCGUACACGGUGGAUGCCCUGGCAGUCAGAGGCGAUGAAGGACGUGCUAAUCUGCGAUAAGCGCCGGUAAGGUGAUAUGAACCGUUAUAACCGGCGAUUUCCGAAUGGGGAAACCCAGUGUGACUCGUCACACUAUCAUUAACUGAAUCCAUAGGUUAAUGAGGCGAACCGGGGGAACUGAAACAUCUAAGUACCCCGAGGAAAAGAAAUCAACCGAGAUUCCCCCAGUAGCGGCGAGCGAACGGGGAGGAGCCCAGAGCCUGAAUCAGCAUGUGUGUUAGUGGAAGCGUCUGGAAAGGCGCGCGAUACAGGGUGACAGCCCCGUACACAAAAGCGCAUGUGCUGUGAGCUCGAUGAGUAGGGCGGGACACGUGGUAUCCUGUCUGAAUAUGGGGGGACCAUCCUCCAAGGCUAAAUACUCCUGACUGACCGAUAGUGAACCAGUACCGUGAGGGAAAGGCGAAAAGAACCCCGGCGAGGGGAGUGAAAAAGAACCUGAAACCGUGUACGUACAAGCAGUGGGAGCACCCUUCGGGGUGUGACUGCGUACCUUUUGUAUAAUGGGUCAGCGACUUAUAUUCUGUAGCAAGGUUAACCG